rnacentral:rRNA from 1 species
UACGGAGGGUGCAAGCGUUAUCCGGAUUCACUGGGUUUAAAGGGUGCGUAGGUGGGUUGGUAAGUCAGUGGUGAAAUCUCCAGGCUUAACUUGGAAACCGCCAUUGAUACUAUCAAUCUUGAAUACCGUGGAGGUCAGCGGAAUAUGUCAUGUAGCGGUGAAAUGCUUAGAUAUGACAUAGAACACCAAUUGCGAAGGCAGCUGGCUACACGAAUAUUGACACUGAUGCACGAAAGCGUGGGGAUCAAACAGG